CUAGGCACCUACUAGGUGAAACAUGCUUCCUCCUCGGCAUCAUGGUACCAUAGGAGCCAAAUAUACUCCCCAAGGACCUAGAGACAGAGUCAAAACCAGCUUCCUGGAGUAAAUUAGGACAGCAAGGCCAGAGGGAGAGGCGCUCCAAGACCUCCAGCCACUCAACCACAGGAAGGUCCAGCUUCACAAUGCCCUUUCUUCUACCCAAGAAAGCGGCCUCAAAGUAUUGGCUUCUUUUUGGAGACUUUGGGUCUGCUGGACUUUUUGUAUAAGUGAUACCCGAUCAGGCCCAGGAGUGCCGGCACCAUAGCCAUGCCCACCAGAGGCAAAAUGCCUUUCAGCAGCUUUUGCCAAUAGCUGGCUCGAAUCAAUGCAAUCAGCUCCACAUCGUACUGCACCACUGCAUCCGCUGGAAAGGCAGAGGUUCUUUGACAGCAUAGGAGAUCUGUGGAUGGGAAACAUGCAGGUUCUUCCAUAUUUACAAG